rnacentral:rRNA from 1 species
GUAGGUGGCAAGCGUUGUCCGGAAUUAUUGGGGCGUAAAGCGCGCGCAGGUGGUUCUUUAAGUCUGAUGUGAAAGCCCCCGGGCUCAACCGGGGGAGGGUCAUUGGAAACUGGGGAACUUGAGUGCAGGAGAGGAAAGUGGAAUUCCACGUGUAGCGGUGAAAUGCGUAGAUAUGUGGAGGAACACCAGUGGCGAAGGCGACUUUCUGGCCUGUAACUGACACUGAGGCGCGAAAGCGUGGGGAGCAAACAGGAUUAGAUACCCUGGUAGUCCACGCCGUAAACGAUGAGUGCUAAGUGUUGGGGGGUUUCCGCCCCUCAGUGCUGCAGCUAACGCAUUAAGCACUCCGCCUGGAGAGUACGGUCGCAAAGACUG